rnacentral:misc_RNA from 1 species
AACGCACAUUGCGCCCGCCAGCAUUCUGGCGGGCAUGCCUGUCCGAGCGUCAUUUCAACCCUCAAGCUCUGCUUGGUGUUGGGGCCCUACGCGCCGAGCGUAGACCCCUAAAAUCAGUGGCGGGCCCGCCGUGGCUCCGGGCGUAGUAGCAACACCUCGCCCUGGGACCGCGGUGCGCUCCGGCCGUUAAACCCCCACUAUACAGAAGGUUGACCUCGGAUCAGGUAGGAAUACCCGCUGAACUUAA